rnacentral:lncRNA from 10 species
CACCACCACACCUGGAUAAUUUUUUAAAUAUUUUUAGUAAAGACAGGGUUUCACCAUUUUGGACAGGCUGGUCUUGAACUCCUGGCCUCAAGUGAUUCACCCACCUCAGCCUCCAAAAGUGCUAGGAUUACAGGCUUGAGCCACUGCGUCCGGCAUCUUCCUUCAUUUUAUUAAUUGCACAGCAUGUGGUAUUUGGUCACCUGUUAUGAGCCUGACUCCAUGCCAAGUGCUGAGGCCGUCACCCUGGUUAAGAUCCCCACCAUCUGCAGCCUACUGCAGUGGAGGAGGCUACAUUCCCGAAGACGUGGGAUUUGGAGUUGUUCUGGCUAAUGUCAAAGACCACACACAAGGACAUGGACGUCAACGGUUCAUUCACAUGAGAUGACAGUUACCCAGGAUGAACCAACUGCAAAAAGCUGUCUGUGGAUGGCAGCUUGCAGUCUAUCUGAGAAAACAAGACAUACCCUCAAGCAGAUAAUUGCCAUUUACAGUCAUUCCUAUGAUCUCAGCACUAUGUGGGUUUAAUCAGCCUUCUGCUAAAAGGAACCAGGUCCAAGACAUUCAGCAUGGCAUGGUAGCUAAGCAAGAUCCAGUGUCUUCAUUCAGCACUGACAGAGUCACUGUCUCUGAGCAGUACUUAGCUACAGAAACUUUGAAGCCUUCUGCAAUUUAUUAUGCUGAGUGCAUCUAAUCAACAUGUAGAAUAAAGAUGGAGCUCCAGAGAAGUUAGCACGCAAUCUGGGUGACAGGUGCUGAGCAAGGACAGCCUCUUCCCAAUACUCUCCAAGCGGCCUGCUGUUUCCAGGGAAUGAUAUUAUCAUUCUUGGCAUCUAGAACAGGACUCAAUGUAAGAUUGUCUAAGGCAGUCACUGGCUACAGUUCAUGGAAGCUUCAGGACGGCACUUGGCAUGAGCUCUCAGUGCUAUGGAAAAAAGAAGCUCUUAGGUGGAAUAUUUCUAGCUAAAAAAUGUAUAGUUUUUUUUGUUGUUGUUUCUGUUCCUUUCAUUUUUAUUUUUAGAAAUAGGAUUUCAAAGGGCAUUUGUCCUGGUCCCUCAGGAAAGAACAUUUUCUAAAGUGUUCCCAUCAACAAUGCCUCAGGUGUUACAGGUCCCUACUCUUGGCCAUCCAGCUCUGCCACCGUGCCUGGAUUCUGCAUUUUCAAAGGGACCAGCUUACCAGCAGCAUCCUCUUCCUGCUGCCUCUUGACUCACACAGAUCCCAUCAAUAAGCAUUCACUGAGGCCUGCUCUAAGUGAGGCUCUGGGGAGAGUGCUGUGGGAGCUUCAAGAGCAAUAGCAGCCCUGAGCUCCAGGAGCUUCCCCUCUGAGGUGGGGAAUUGCGAUGCAUGGAACAUCUCCAACACACAAAGCAGACUCUUGCUAGGCUUCGAACUGGAAUUGCAUUGAUCGUAUUAACUUGGGGGAGAUCUGAUAUAUUUAAAAGAAAAAAAUAAGCCGGGCAUGGCGGCUCACGUCUGUAAUCCCAGCACUUGGGGAGACUGAGGUAGGUGGAUCAUUUGAGGUCAGGAGUUUGAGACCAGCCUGGCCAACAUGGUGAGACCCCGUCUCUACUAAAAAUACAAAAAUUAGCCGGGCGUGGUGGGUGCCUGUAAGCCCAGCUACGUGGGAGGCUGAGGCAGGAGAAUCGCUUGAACUUGAGAGAUGGAGGCUGCAGUGAGCUGAGAUCAUGCCACUGCACUUCAGCCUGGGUGACAGAGUGAGACUCUGUCUCAAAAAAGAAAAAAAAAAAAAAAGAAAAAAAUAUAGGCGAUGGAACAGAAAAGUGGGCAGUGGCUAUGAAGAUGCAAUCCAAAUAUAAGGUAAUACUUAUCACCAAAGAAAUAGCAAUUAAGACAACAGUGAGACAGCAUCUUGUGUCUGUCAGAUUGGAGGAAAAAUACUAAAUUGAAUAAUGUGAAUUGUUGUUGAGGAUUGUGGAACUAGCCUUCCAUGAAACGUUUCUAGAAGUCUAAAUGAGUGUAGACACUCCAGAGAGCAAUCUGGCGGUAUUUAGCAAUCCCAUACCUGGGCAUAUAACUUGGACAAACUCUGAUUAUAACAGACUAGGCCCAAGGAUAUGUUUAUUGCAGUAUUAUUGGUGGUAGUGAUGAGUUGGAGGCAAUAUAAGUUUCUACCACAAGGAGGGUUGAUAUGAGCGUUUGAUGAAUAGUAUGCAGUAGUCAGAAUAAUAAAACAGAUGUACACUCAGCAUGGAGAAAUCUGAAUAAGAUACUGUUGGCUGAUGACAGUAAGACAUGGAUUGAGAUAUAUAGUAGAGUGUCAUUUAUAUAAAUUCAAAACACGUGCACAAGAUGAUCAUGUCUCUAGUAGCUACAAAAGUGCUUGAUACAGAGUAGGCCUUCAGUAAAUUGUUUUACUUGUUGUCAAUAAAAAUAUAUAUACUAAAUAAAUAUCUAACAUUUAUGUAAGUUAAGAAUACAUAGACAUAUACAUAUUUUAAGGGUAUAUACAAAUGCGAAACAUAAUUUAAGGGUACGGCUCUUCUGGAUAGUCCAGCGUUCAAAUGGAGUUCUCUGGAGUGAAGUAAAAUUAAUUCACAAACCUCUGUUGCAUCCAAGGUCAAAUACUCUCACGAACACCCACUCUCUGUUCCCUGGUUUAAUACUCACUGAGUAACAUUCUGAAGCCUGAGACUUUUAUACAUACCCAGUUUCCAGAAAAGGCACAAAGAAGCUUUCCCCAAAAGAAAAUACAUGAAUAUUCCAUUUAUUUAAAAACAUCCGAGCAGGUCUAAGCAAUAUAAAUUAAUAUAGCAGCAUCAGUGUCUUGUGAGUUAAGACGAGUGUCCUAAGAUUUAGUUGCUUAACUGAUUCCUCUAUGUCCCUAAAUCAAAUGAUGAAAUACAGAUUUAGGUUCCAUUUUUUUGAAAGAAUACUUCAUAGGUCAUUCUGUCUACUUCCUACUGCACCACAUUUAGGAGGGAGGCACAUCAUGUGUGGUUGUCUCUUUAGUAAUUCUGAGAUUGGUCAAGGGGUCCAGGUGGUGUCUGACCUUAUUCCAUCAUUACAAAAGAAGUCACCAUCUACUUUUUACCUAGUGGUUUCAGUAUCUUUGGAUAAUCACUGCCCGGAUUUAUCAAGGUUUGCAAAAUGAUUUUCUAAUUCUGUGGUUCCUUCUAUACACAUUAGCUGGGAUUCUUCAAAAUGUAACUUACAAAACAAACAAAAUCACUAUCAAGACUUGACAUUCCUUCUUCCAUAUCAAUUUUCAGAAUAGUGAUAAAAGUUACCAGUAAUGAUUUCUAGUGGAGACCAAUAUGUUUUUCUCAUCAUUAUAUACUUUUUUUUUUUUUUGAGACAGAGUCUUGCUCUGUCACCAGGCUAGAGUGCAGUGGUGUGAUCUCUGCUCACUGCAACUUCCGCAUCCUGGGUUCAAGCAAUUCUCCUGCCUCAGCCUCCCAAGUAGCUGGGACUACAGGUGCACACCACCACGCCCAGCUGAUUUUUGUAGUUUUAGUAGAGACAGGGUUUCACCAUAUUGGCCAGGAUGGUCUCGAUCUCUUGACCUCGUGACCUGCCCACCUCAGCCUCCCAAAGUGCUGGGAUUACAGGCAUGAGCCACUGCGCCCAGCCCAUAAAUUUUUAUAUAUUUGAUGAGGUUGAAUUAAUUGCCAUCAUUAUUCUCUUUUCUCUCUCUCUUUAGGAUCCUUAAACAGCUUAUAUUCAAUAAACUGCAUAUGUUUAAAUGGCACACUUUGUAAAGUUUGGUGAUACUGUACAGUCACAAAAGCAUAAUCAAUGUAGCAAACAUAUCUAUUGUAAUCUAAAAUGUCCUUGUGCCUUUUUUAACCUCCUGCUCCUCCUCCAUACUAUAUCCCCAGGCGACCUCUGAUUUACUUUAUGUUGGAAUUUUUGAGAAAUUCAUACAAAUGGCAUUAUUUAGUAUGUACUCUUUGUGUCUGACUGCUUUUACUCAGCAUAAUUAUUUUGAGAUUCAACAUGUUGUCUGUAUCAAUACCUUUAAUUGUCAAGUGGUAUGCUAUUGUAUGACUAUGUCACAAUUGUUUAGCCAUCGAUGAACAUUUGGGUCGUUUCCAGUUUGGGGUUACUACAAAUAAAGCUGCUAAGAACAUUUUUAUAUAAAUCUUUGUGCAGACAUAGAUUUUAUUUCUAUGGGAUAAAUACCUACUAGUGGAAAGGCUACAUCAGAUAGUAGGGUAUAUACUUAACUUUUCAAAAAAAACUGCAAAUGUGCUUUCCAUAGAAGUGCUAUUGCACAUUUCUCCUGAGCAUGAGAAUUUCAAUUCUUCCCCAUUCUCUCCAAUAUUUAGUAUGGUCAGACCUUAUAAUUUUAUCCAUUUUAAUAGGAGUAUAUUAUGGUUUGAAUGUGUCCCCUCCAAAAUUCAGGUGUUGACAUUUAAUGGCCAAUGUGAUAGUAUCAAGAGAUAGGACCUUUAAGAGGUGGUUAGGUCCUGAGGACUCCUCACUCAUGAAUGGGAUUAAGAGAUUUCGUGCAGCUUUUGACUCCCUUGCCCUUUCACCUUUCACCAUGUGAGGACACAGUGUUCCUCCCCUCCAGAGGACGCCACAACUGGGCGCCAUCUGGGAAGCAGAGGGCAGUCCUCAAUAGACAAAGGAACCUGCCAGCAUCUUGAUCUGGGACCUUGCAGCCUCCAGAAACUAUGAGAAAUACAUUUUUGUUCUUUGAUAAAUUACCCAGUCUUCUGUAUUUUGUUAUGGCAGCACAAAAAGAACUGUGACACUGUGUACAUGUACUUAAUCGUGGUUUUACAGCAGUCUCCCUUUCUCUGCUGUUUCACUUUUUUGUUGUUUGUUUGUUUUGAGAUGGAGUCUCGUUCUUGUCGCCCAGUCUGGAGUGCAAUGGCGUGAUCUCGGCUCACCGCAACCUGUCCUCCUGGGUUCAAGCAAUUCUUCUGCCUCAGCCUCCGAAGUAGCUAGGCUUACAGACACGUGCCACCACACCCUGCCAAUUUUUGUAUUUUUAGUAGACAGGCUGUUAGGCAGGCUGGUCUUGAACUCCUAACCUCAGGUGAUCCGCCCACCUUGGCCUCCCAAAGUGCUGGGAUUACAGGCAUGAGCCACCGCACCCAGCAUGCUGAUUCACUUUCUGCAGUUUCAGUUACCCACAGUCAACCAUGGGCCAGAACAUAGUUACACUGCCACAAGUUGUGGAUGGGAGGGCUGGAUUUCCUGAACCCUUCCCAGCAUUGCUCGAGUUUCUUGGUUCCUCCGCUAGAGAAGAGGAGCCCCAGAGCUCUGUAGGCUCCAGAAAAGUGCCCAAAUCAUAAGCAGACAUCUCAUUGGAUUUACUGAGCACACCCAGGUAUCCACCACCCAAGGGAAGCAACGAAGGUGACCCCACCCAGCAUUUACCCUGUGUCCCUAUCUUGGACAUUGAUUCUGCUCCAGAGGUCACAAUCUCAUGCCGCCAAUUGCCAUAGAUUCGUUUUGCUUGGUCUUAAACUUUAUAUAAAUGAAAAUUCAACUUUAUGCUGUCUACAAGAGGCAUACUAACUCAUAAAAAUUAAAAGACUGACCCAGAAAACACAGCAAAAAGAAAAAUAUCACGAAAUGAUUGUCAGUCCAAUUAAAAUUCAAGACUGGAAGAAUUCAUGGGUCAGAGAAGGCAGGCUAGGCUGGCCCACUUUAGCCUAAAUCCCGGGAUCCAGCAAGCAUUCAUCUCACAUAGCUCGGGUUUUACUGAGUUGGUUCCUCUGCCUGCUUCUCUGACUUGUUUACCCGUGGAGUACACGAGAACUACAACCCCCAGCAUGCACUGCGCUGGUACAAGUGGAUCUGCUCGGCACCUAUAACCUAAUUACCUCUCAGGCUCACACAAGUCUCUGGCCGCUAAGCGAAUGAUCUCCCAAAGGGAUUAUUCUCAAGCAGCACAGAAACUGUCCCUAUGCCUCAGGUGGCCCCAGAACUCUUUCGUACUAGAGACUUAUCUGUUAAUAAAGUUAACAAAGGAAAGUGGCCUUCCAAGAAUGUUUGUUUGGGCCACUACCUGGAAGAAAUAACACUUGACCAUGAGAGACUUGGCUGAGCAGUGCUGGGUCAGCUUAACCAAAGAAGACCAGCCAUCACCCACGGCAAGAGCAGCUCUGACUUGGACCCACUGUUCCCCCAGCCUGUUAGCAGCCUGUGAACAAUCUUUAAGUGACCCCUGGCCCUGUCACAUCUCCAUUCAACAGGGUUCUUGGGGAGGAUGUGUGGACCGAGAACAGUGCCCACCCACACCACCUGUAAGUGUGGCCACGGCAGCCAGCCAGCAUGGAUGCUAAGUAACAAGUGGUAUUGGGGCACAGAUGUGGCGGGAGCGCUUUGGGGCAAAGAAAGAGGUGCUGUGAGUGAGGACAGAAAGGAAGGGGAAAAAAAAGCCUCAUGGGUUAGAGCGCCUCUCACCUUUGGCUCUUCUUCAGAAGACUGGUAAAAGAAAACAAGAAGAGAAAUUGGUUUCCCUGACUUCUCUAAAGCAAGCGUUCUUCAGAAAAGAGAAUCGAUCAGCCUGGUUAAAGUGGAUAAACUAUGUGAUGUCCAUCCAGAGAGGUGUCUAUUAAUGGCUGUAAAAUGGAAAGAUGAAUCAAUGGGACCGAUUAAUAUUUAUGAAGAGUUGAACUAGGCAGAGUGAAAAAGCCUUGUAUAUUGGAUAAGAAAGGAAAAGCAUUGCACACCAUAGGAUGCGUUUGUUUGGCUAAGGUUUCUGUUUUGAUCACUGGGUAAUUGUAUAGAGCAGGGGCGUAUGGUAGAGAAAGAAAAUCUAUAUCUAGAAGUUAUUGACUUUAUGUACAAAAGCACUGGUUGGUGCCUAUUUUUGAGGACCACUCCAUCUUAAAAAUAACUUUGGUUUUGUACGGCCUAGUUGUGGUGGAAAAGGAGCUCCAAAGAGUAAGCAAGUUUCCUACAAAAAGAAUCCAAGCUGUUGAAACUACAAUUAAGAAAUGCAAAGAGUUACUAAUUUUACUACUUAGAGGAAAGGAAAUUCACAAGCAGGAAAGAAACUGUGGAUCAGGGCAAGUUGUAACUCUAGAGGUUCAGAGAUAGGAGCUCUAAUUACACCAGGGCAAGGGAGUACUGUUUGGGGAAAUUUCUGAAACAUGAAAUAGGAAAGCUGAGGGUCAAAAUGAUAUUGUGAUGUGAAUAAAUAGAGAAGACAUGUUUGCAUGGAGCUCAGCUGGGUAAUCAUGGAAAGAAGGAGGGGCGAAGGAGGAAACUGAAAAUCGAAAUAAAGAACAGAAGCACAGACCAUGAAAUAUGCCAAAUAUAGUGUGCAAAUACUCAGAAGGCAUGGAAAGAUAAGUUAGAAGCCAAAACUCAGUUAUCACUAUCGUGUGAAGGAACAAUAAAACUCUUAGCAAAAACAAAUGACUUAGCAUGAGACCAAUACUGCUUUCCUUAGGUAGCUUGGUCCAGAGGGAAAAGGCUGAUAUCACUCCCUAUCAAGGGUUUUUAGACGGUUUAAGUGAGCUCUGCAAGUGGGAGACACGGUGAUGAUUAUUGACAGUUGCUAUCUUUCAAGGGGGAGAAGCAAACUGAUGUUACACAUUAGAAUUAGUUAGCACCACCGAACACAGGUUACAAAAAUACUGGGAGGAAUUCUCUCUCCUGAGCACAUUACGCAAUAUUUGCAAAUGUGUGCAGGUAAGUGUUGACUCUCUCAUCAUGCUGGACCUGGAAAUGGUUCUCAGCAAAUCAUGGCAUGAUUUCUUUUUCAAAGUUGGGUACACGAAUAUUAUCGUAACCAGCUAAGAGCAGGGAGACGUGGCAUGGGAGACUAACAGAUAGUGCAGCUUUUAAGAGAAGACGUAGAAAUCAAUCUAGUAACAAAUAUUUAUUAAGCAUUGGAGUGUGCUAGGCACCAAGAGAAAAGAAACCUCCACAGCUGAUAAAGCCUUUCAAAAUAAUGUCCUCAGUUAAUUUGCACAUUUCCAUGAGGUAGGUGUUGUUAGCCAUUUCCGUUAAUGAGAAAAAAAAAAAUGAGAUUCAGAAAGGUUAAUUAAAUUGGAGAUCUCCUGAUUUUUUAGUUUUAUAUCCUUCCCGUGUCCUUUCCAGGCUUAUAUUCUGGUCCUAUCACUUCUCAGCUGAGUUACUUCAACAAGUUAUUUAUUCUCUGUGUUCCCAGCUGUCAAAAUGAAAAUGCCAGUACCCACCUGGUAAGGAGUGAGAGAACAUUUAUAAAAAUGCUCGGCUGGGUACCUGACACAUAGGAGGUCCUCAGUAAAUUUGUUUUCUCCCUUUCUUCCUGAAGUACGGUGGCAGAGGGAUUCAGCCAGCCAGCCUGGGUAGCACAAGCCAUGAUGCCCUGCUGAAUCUGUGUUCUAGGGUCGGACAGGGGGAGUCCUUUUGCCUAGAGGGAUGGUGUGCGAGGCCUAAGAGGACUUGGGCAGAGUCUUGAAGGACGAGCAGGAUUUGCUGUGGUGGAGAGGUGGUCACGGGUUGAGCAGAUAGGAGAACCAAGGAAUCAAGGCAGGGAAAGAGAGGGGAUGCAUGUGAAGGGCCAGGAGCUGUUAACUAGUUUGCUAAGCAGCAGGCGAGGAUUUAGAAGGAGUUGGAGAAGUGUGGAGGGAGCUGAGGCUCUUGUGAGGGGAACUUUUAUGCUAAGGGUUCCAACUUGGCCCUGUGAAUGAAGGUGAGCUGGGGAAGGUUUGUGAACUUGGAGUCUCACCUGUAAAAGAUUAAUCUGGUGCCAGUGUACAGAAUGGACCGUCAAGGAAGAGGUGGAAAAACAAGGAAAAUUUGUAUUUUAUAGACACACACACACAUAGACACAGAGCCCUUUUUAUUAGAAAACAUAUAAUCAACUUAACCCCAUUUUAAAUGGCUUGGACAUUAAUUUUACUCUUGUAAUUGAUUAUAGAGGUUUAAAACUGUUGUGUUUUUGCCUUUGUGACAUAUUAUGGCUGUAUCUAAAAUUUAUUUGAUGUUAAAUCAAGAACAAAACUCUUCAAUUCUAUUGUUGUUCCUAAGGUAAAAUAUAAUCUACUUUGAGUCAAUUCACUGUGUCAUAAACUUUCCAGGAAUGGGAAACUUGAUAAAAAGCAGAGACUCACUGCAUAUGACAAUAAUUAAAUCUAUAUUCAACAAGUAUAAAAGAAUGGUUGUAGGGGUGAGCAAUUUGGAAGAAAAAAAGCCACUUGACUUAAAUAUGACAGAAAAUCAUACUGAGGUCUGACACCCCAUGACCUUUUUUGAGAUUUGAGGUUAUGCCAUGUAUUUGAGAAUAAAUAAAAUCCAUUUAAGUGUCUAUAUUAUUAAAUGAAUCGUAUUUUCAGAAAGCAUUAGAUAAAGUCUGUUUUAGACCUUGGAAUCCAUUUUUCUCAUGAACACAAUAUCGUAAAUAGAUGAGAAUUGAGUUCCCAGUCUAUAAAACCCUUAUUAAAUCAUCAUGUAGCUGAACUAUUCUAUAUUGGCAAUCAAUAGAGUUGAGUAAUCUUUUCAUAGUCACAGUGAUAAAAAAACAAAAAAUAUUGAAGAAGUAAUUUUUCAAAAAAUAGAGGUAUAGCACGUUUAAUUAUGGAUUAAGAGGCCGAUAAAUAAUUUUGUGGUGAUUCUGAAGAGACUAUCUGGGCACUUUCAAAAGCUUUAGAGUUGAUAAACUGUUCUUAUUAUGUCUAAUUUAAUAUUCAAAAUUUAUGACCAUUCAUUCAUUCAUCAAACAUAACUUAGAUAUCUACAAUAGGUAUUGUGCUAGCCGCUGGAGAUUUCAAUGUAAUGAAACAGUUCCUAACUUAAAGAAAAGCAGCACUUGAAAUUUUACUAAUGCAUUCAGUCAUUUACUUAACAGAUACUGAAUGUUUGCUACCGUGAGUCUAUUAUUCCUAUGCGUAUCAACUCCCAGGAAGCAUGUGUAGCUCGCUGAUGGAAUACAGAGAAAUAUUCCUGAGAGAAUACCAAAAAUAGUCCGUUUGUGCUACUAAAACAAAAUGGCUGAGACCGAGUAGCUAGCUUAUAAAGAACAGAAAGCUAUUUUCUCACAGUUCUGGAGGCUGGGAAGUCCAAGAUAAAAGCACCAACGGGUUUGGUUGUCUGGCAAAGGCUUCUCUCUGUUUCCAAGAUGGUGCCUUGUUGCUGUGUCCUCCAGAGGGAAGGAAUGCUGUGUCUUCACAUGGCAGAAGGCUGAAGGGCAAGUGAGCUAACACUGUGUGAAGCUUAUUUUAUAAGGACCUUAAUCCCAUUCAAGAGGGAG